UACGUAGGGUGCGAGCGUUGUCCGGAAUCAUUGGGCGUAAAGGGCGCGUAGGUGGCCCGGUGAGUCUUUGGUGAAAGCGCGGGGCUCAACCCUGCGUCGGCCAGGGAUACUGCCGCGGCUCGAGCACUGUAGAGGCAGGCGGAAUUCCGGGUGUAGCGGUGGAAUGCGUAGAGAUCCGGAAGAACACCGGUGGCGAAGGCGGCCUGCUGGGCAGUGGCUGACGCUGAGGCGCGACAGCGUGGGGAGCAAACAGG
rnacentral:rRNA from 1 species